AAGGUACAUCAACAAGGAGAGCUAUGAUCGAUCCACUGCACUCCUGCUUCUCUGUAAAAGAUUCACCGCUCCAGAGUCUGAGGCAGAAAAGCCUGCUCUGCAAACAGAGGAAGAGAUUCUAGUGAGCCUCCUUGCUGCCGGUGCUGAUCCCAACCUGCCUCAGCCUGAGCCUGUCUCCCUGCCCUUACUGAUCAAAUUUCUACUCUCAUGAAAUAAUCGUUGGUGGCGGGGCGUGGAGCUACUGUUGGAUGCUGGGCGUGGAGCUACUGGCCGUGGAUGUAGAGCACAACCUGCAGCCAGCCAUAUUCUUAGCCAGGGUCAAUGUUGAAAUUCUCAUAAGACUUCUAGAAGAAGGCUGUGCUAACGAUGAGGUCUGCUCGUGGAUUGCUGAUGGAAUUUUCAACAAAGCCCAAGUGAAGAAGCUGGUAGAGGCAGCACACGAGUUCGGACCGUGUUCUACUCACGGCAGCAUCUGUAGCGGCAUUCGUUACAAAUGGGCACAUUGUAAAGCUCUACAGGAGAAUCAUGUCUGGUGCCUCCGAUGCUAUUCUGCACGCGCCGGAGUCUGGAUACAGAAUAUUACUCUCCGAACUGACGAAGAACUGCUGCCGUGACGGCCAGUAUUGGUUCAGGUCGUCCAUGCUGACUGGUCUUUGCAGGGACUUUAUGGCGUAUGAUGAUCCUACUGUUACAGCGCUGCUGCUGCUACACUUCGGCGUUCACGACUUCACUCAGUACGAGGAGGUGGAGGUAGAUUGCAGCUCUGAAGGCCCUUCCGGGCUCUCUGCUAUGUCCGUGUUGCAUCGCUACGCCCCCCGAUGUUGUAGUUGCCCAUCCUGGUAGUGGCGACCAGGGAGGGAGGGUGAUAGGUCAGUUUUUCCGGGCACUCGGUAACUCUGGUAGUUCUACGACCAUCACUGGCGCCCCCCGAUGUCGGAUGGUGGUGACGAAACCUGCAGUUUAUCCACCGCCAGAUCCGCUGCGGUCGCUGAAGGAGCUGCGCCGCCUGUCCAUCCGCGCUGCCCUCGGCCACUGCAGGAUUGAGGAGAAGACGGAAGGCUUGCGAGGCGUCUAGCCCGCCACUCUCAGGGAAUACCUUUACUUUCGCCACGACUUCUCCAUUUUCCCUGUGAGGAGAAGACGAAAGGCUUGCGAGGCGUCUUGCCCGCCACUCUCAGGGAAUACCUUUACUUUCCCCACGACUUCUUUAUUUUCCCUGUGAGGAGAAGACGGAAGGCUUGCGAGGCGUCUUUCCCGCCACUCUCAGGGAAUACCUUUACUUUCGCCACGACUUCUCCAUUUUCCCUGUGAGGAGAAGACGGAAGGCUUGCGAGGCGUCUUUCCCGCCACUCUCAGGAAUACCUUUACUUUCCCCACGACUUCUUUAUUUUCCUUGCGCCCGCCAAUUGAAAGGAAAGUUUGACGCAUCCUCAGACUCUAGCAAUUUGUUACGCUUCACCUCAGCAUGAGUUUCCUGCUGGUAAUUAAUAAUUUCUCUAAUUUUUAGGCGCUGUAAUCUUACCAAGGAUCACGAGUCUCUGAAUUAUUCGGUUGAUGUUUUUUCCGGAAUAAUUAUUCCAGUAAUUUGCACGAAAUGUUUUAUUCUUGGAUUUCAGGGUAAAUUUCUUGUAUUUAAUGAGAAACUCUUUAACCGUUUGUCUUGACCAAAGAUGAACCACGUCAGUCCUGCUUCUAUUUAAAACAGGUGACAGGAGCUGCUGUUGACCUGUCACUGUUGCCUUGCUGUCUAGUCGUGGAUCCGAAAUGAAAUCUACAGCACUUGUCUAGAGCUUUGUCGAUAGUUUUUAGAUGUCAUUAUUGAAGUACUAGCCUUCAGUAUUUCAGUUGUUAAACAAUUGAGUUUUUUAAUAUUUACUAAAAAAGUUUAAUUCUGAUUAUCUUCAAUUUAUGUUCGUACGCAUUCUCUCUCUGAUCUAAUCAAGUCCAGGUUCUAAGACCAACAUUUUAACACUACGUUUGCCGGGGUCCACACUGGGUGGACAUAAAGCCACAGGUCUGCCUGAUGGAUAACCUGUUAGGUGCCUUGUUGGUUAGGUUUUUAGCUUCUUGGUACAGGAAGCUAGUCAGUGCUUCCUUGAGAGAGAUCAGUUCUCUAGUAGGAGAUAUUCCUUGUUCACUGAAUUUGGAGAUUUGCCGCGAGUCCGGCCGUAAAUUUGUCCGAGACGUGAAUCAAGUCGCGUACGACAAAAACUAAUAUGAUGAACUAAAUUUUCUAUAUAAUUUUAUUAUUGCUAAAAUUACAAAUAGUGCAAAACUUUUAGUAAUAUAAUAUAAAUUCUCAACGCAUAAAUGACUGUAACAAUGUGUCUACUUAACAAGUAAUAAAUAAGAUAGAAAUAAAUUGAUCCCGUAACUGU
rnacentral:lncRNA from 1 species